AGUCGAGCGGAUGACGGGAGCUUGCUCCUUGAUUCAGCGGCGGACGGGUGAGUAAUGCCUAGGAAUCUGCCUGGUAGUGGGGGACAACGUUUCGAAAGGAACGCUAAUACCGCAUACGUCCUACGGGAGAAAGCAGGGGACCUUCGGGCCUUGCGCUAUCAGAUGAGCCUAGGUCGGAUUAGCUAGUUGGUGAGGUAAUGGCUCACCAAGGCGACGAUCCGUAACUGGUCUGAGAGGAUGAUCAGUCACACUGGAACUGAGACACGGUCCAGACUCCUACGGGAGGCAGCAGUGGGGAAUAUUGGACAAUGGGCGAAAGCCUGAUCCAGCCAUGCCGCGUGUGUGAAGAAGGUCUUCGGAUUGUAAAGCACUUUAAGUUGGGAGGAAGGGCAGUAAGUUAAUACCUUGCUGUUUUGACGUUACCGACAGAAUAAGCACCGGCUAACUCUGUGCCAGCAGCCGCGGUAAUACAGAGGGUGCAAGCGUUAAUCGGAAUUACUGGGCGUAAAGCGCGCGUAGGUGGUUCGUUAAGUUGGAUGUGAAAGCCCCGGGCUCAACCUGGGAACUGCAUCCAAAACUGGCGAGCUAGAGUACGGUAGAGGGUGGUGGAAUUUCCUGUGUAGCGGUGAAAUGCGUAGAUAUAGGAAGGAACACCAGUGGCGAAGGCGACCACCUGGACUGAUACUGACACUGAGGUGCGAAAGCGUGGGGAGCAAACAGGAUUAGAUACCCUGGUAGUCCACGCCGUAAACGAUGUCAACUAGCCCUUGGAAUCCUUGAGAUUUUAGUGGCGCAGCUAACGCAUUAAGUUGACCGCCCGGGGGAAUACGGCCGCCAGGGUUAAAACUCAAAUGAAUUGACGGGGGCCCGCACAAACCGGUGGAACAGGUGGUUUAAUUUCAAACCACCGCGAAGAACCUUUCCCGGGCCUUGACAUUGC
rnacentral:rRNA from 1 species